GAGUUCGCGGGAGAGUAAGUUAUUGCCAGGGUUUUUAUUUUAUACUUUAAACCUUGAAUUUAUUUUUUAAAUGUUUAUAUUAUUUGAAUAAAACAUUCAAAUAAUAUAAAAAAUAAUAUAUAUAUUGACAUGGAUUAAACAAAGAUAUAUAUUAUUUUAUGUUGUAUAAACAACUUGGCAAAAUAGAGAUGGAAGAUAAAAAUAUGGUCAAAGUAAUAAGAGUCUAUGGUGAAUGCC
rnacentral:misc_RNA from 1 species